rnacentral:lncRNA from 1 species
GACAUAGGGCCACUGACAUCAACAUAGACCCCGGUUGCAGCGGAACUUAGAACUUGUCAUGGAGCUUGGCAGCAACACAGAUCUAGACAUCAGAAUGGCCUGAUGUGACAGUAUAGGCCACUCAGAACAAUAUGGCCUCUGGUGGCAGUGUGGCUCAUGGUCAUCAAUAUAAAUACUCCUGGCAACACAAAUGACAGACAUCUAUAAGACCUUCAGGAGUAAUAUGGGCUAUGGACAUAAACAGACCCCAGCUGAAGUAGAACCAUGAACCCAGACAUGGCCACCACCAGAAGCAAAGACCUGGACAUCACCAUGACCUCAGACAGCAGUGCAGGCCUUUCACAUCUACAUGGCCCCUGGUGGCAGCAUGGCCCUACGUACAUCAAGAUGGCCUCAGCUGCCUGUCCAUCUACCAAGUCUGUCCUGCUAGCAUAUUGAAAGAAACCUCAGAUGUCUAGUAAACCAUGGGUUAAACCAACAAACUCAAUCUUCUAAAAUAACACCAGCCUGCCAUUCAGGUGUAUCAGUCCUUGUGAGCCACUGGACCACUGGCAACAAUUUGGCGCCCAGACUGGAACCUGAAGAAGUUUAGGAGGACGCUGAGGGAACGCUGUUUUGUGUGGAGCUCCACGGAAGAAAAAGAAAAAGAAAAGGAUUGUAUCGGACAAUGAAGCAACAGAAAAAGAAGUUGUAGCGAGAUGGCUGCCUGAGAGAUUAGUUCGUCAACUGGACACAGAUCCUGAAUCUUCUAGUAAGUA